ACCAGACUCCUACGGGAGGCAGCAGUGGGGAAUAUUGGGCAAUGGAGGCAACUCUUACCCAGCAAUGCCGCGUGAAUGAAGAAGGUCUUCGGAUUGUAAAGUUCUUUAAUUGGGGACGAAAAAAAUGACGGUACCCAAGGAAUAAGCCCCGGCUAACUACGUGCCAGCAGCCGCGGUAAUACGUAGGGGGCAAGCGUUGUUCGGAAUGACUGGGCGUAAAGGGAGCGUAGACGGUUAAGCAAGUCUGGAGUGAAAGGCGGGGGCCCAACCCCCGGACUGCUCUGGAAACUGUGUAACUAGAGUGCGGGAGAGGUAAGCGGAAUUCCUAGUGUAGCGGUGAAAUGCGUAGAUAUUAGGAGGAACACCAGUGGCGAAGGCGGCUUACUGGACUGUAACUGACGUUGAGGCUCGAAAGCGUGGGGAGCAAACAGGAUUAGAUACCCCAGUA
rnacentral:rRNA from 1 species